rnacentral:rRNA from 1 species
AACGAACGCUGGCGGCAGGCCUAACACAUGCAAGUCGAACGCCCCGCAAGGGGAGUGGCAGACGGGUGAGUAACGCGUGGGAACCUACCUUUCGGUGCGGAAUAACUUCGGGAAACCAAAGCUAAUACCGCAUACGCCCUACGGGGGAAAGAUUUAUCGCCGAUGGAUGGGCCCGCGUCGGAUUAGCUAGUUGGUGAGGUAACGGCUCACCAAGGCUACGAUCCGUAGCUGGUCUGAGAGGAUGAUCAGCCACACUGGGACUGAGACACGGCCCAGACUCCUACGGGAGGCAGCAGUGGGGAAUAUUGGACAAUGGGCGCAAGCCUGAUCCAGCCAUGCCGCGUGAGUGAAGAAGGCCUUAGGGUUGUAAAGCUCUUUUAGUGGGGACGAUAAUGACGGUACCCACAGAAUAAGCCCCGGCUAACUUCGUGCCAGCCGCCGCGGUAA